AUCCAUCUGACGAGUCCCAAAUAGGUGGGAACGUGCGUCACACUGCAU
rfam:Schistosoma haematobium scaffold430_19, whole genome shotgun sequence.